rnacentral:rRNA from 1 species
UACAGAGGUCUCGAGCGUUAGGCGGAAUCACUGGGCUUAAAGCGUGUGUAGGCGGAUCGUUAAGUGCCUUGUGAGAUCCCACGGCUCAACCGUGGAACUGCUUGGCAUACUGGCGGUCUUGAGCAACCUAGGGGCGAGCGGAACAAAUGGUGGAGCGGUGAAAUGCGUAGAUAUCAUUUGGAACGCCAAUGGUGAAAACAGCUCGCUGGGGGUUUGCUGACGCUGAGACACGAAAGCCAGGGGAGCAAACGGG